AGCCGUUGUGUGACGACGUAGGUGAUGUAAACUUGUAAGAUUGUGGACUAACAAGUCUCCUGUUGCAUUUUGAUCGCUAGUGAGGACAGUGAGUGUUGGAGGCGUGAUGACGGUGUGGCGAACGGCGAGUGAGGAAUGAAGCGAGGAAGGGCAACUGGUGGUGCUGACUGGCUGAAUGGCGGCGACCUCCAUGUUGUGAUGAAAGAGAUAGCCAAGUCAACUCCCAGAGUGACGCCUUAGGGAACACCACGUUAAGGAAAUCAGUCCUCUUCUGUGACACUUCGGAGUUGGAAGGAAAACGAUAAUACCGCAGACCGCAAUAAAUCUUCUCCCAAGUAAUUCAUCACCAGUGAGCAAAUACCUUCGACAGUGAACCAGAAAACGUGUGGGGUUGAACGAGGAAGCUGCUCCUCACAAUAAGACUGCACAAACUUCAGGUGCUCUUACACAAGGACAGCAUUGGAAACUCAUGGCCUGCUGCAAGUCUAGUAGUGAGUGA